rnacentral:tRNA from 1 species
GGUCCUGUAGUGUAGUGGUGAUCACAUUGGACUUUGAAUCCAAUAACCCCGGUUCGAAUCCGGGCAGGACCU